rnacentral:snoRNA from 12 species
GUUUGAAUGAUGACUUGGUGUUGUCGGAUACCCCUUCACUCGUUUUAUGAGUGAAACAUACAGUCUGACAAAC